GUCCCUGUAGCUUAUAGCAAAGCAUGACACUGAAGAUGUCAAGAUGGUUGCUCAAUACACCCGAGGACA
rnacentral:tRNA from 1 species